rnacentral:rRNA from 1 species
AUUGGAUGAGCCCGCGGCCUAUCAGCUAGUUGGUGAGGUACUGGCUCACCAAGGCGACGACGGGUAGCCGGCCUGAGAGGGUGACCGGCCACACUGGGACUGAGACACGGCCCAGACUCCUACGGGAGGCAGCAGUGGGGAAUAUUGCACAAUGGGCGCAAGCCUGAUGCAGCGACGCCGCGUGGGGGAUGACGGCCUUCGGGUUGUAAACCUCUUUCAGUACCGACGAAGCGCAAGUGACGGUAGGUACAGAAGAAGCACCGGCCAACUACGUGCCAGCAGCCGCGGCCGAAU